UACGACCUACGGGUGAAAGCAGGGGAUCUUCGGACCUUGCGCGAUUGAAUGAGCCGAUGUCGGAUUAGCUAGUUGGCGGGGUAAAGGCCCACCAAGGCGACGAUCCGUAGCUGGUCUGAGAGGAUGAUCAGCCACACUGGAACUGAGACACGGUCCAGACUCCUACGGGAGGCAGCAGUGGGGAAUAUUGGACAAUGGGCGCAAGCCUGAUCCAGCCAUACCGCGUGGGUGAAGAAGGCCUUCGGGUUGUAAAGCCCUUUUGUUGGGAAAGAAAUCCAGCCGGCUAAUACCCGGUUGGGAUGACGGUACCCAAAGAAUAAGCACCGGCUAACUUCGUGCCAGCAGCCGCGGUAAUACGAAGGGUGCAAGCGUUACUCGGAAUUACUGGGCGUAAAGCGUGCGUAGGUGGUCGUUUAAGUCCGUUGUGAAAGCCCUGGGCUCAACCUGGGAACUGCAGUGGAUACUGGGCGACUAGAGUGUGGUAGAGGGUAGCGGAAUUCCUGGUGUAGCAGUGAAAUGCGUAGAGAUCAGGAGGAACAUCCAUGGCGAAGGCAGCUACCUGGACC
rnacentral:rRNA from 1 species